UACGGAGGGUGCAAGCGUUAAUCGGAAUUACUGGGCGUAAAGGGCAUGCAGGUGGCUUGACGAGUCGGAUGUGAAAGCCCCGGGCUUAACCUGGGAACUGCAUUCGAUACUGUCAGGCUAGAGUAUGGGAGAGGAAAGUGGAAUUCCCGGUGUAGCGGUGAAAUGCGUAGAUAUCGGGAGGAACAUCAGUGGCGAAGGCGGCUUUCUGGCCCAAUACUGACACUCAUAUGCGAAAGCGUGGGGAGCAAACAGG
rnacentral:rRNA from 1 species